rnacentral:rRNA from 1 species
CAGCAGCCGCGGGAAUACGUAGGGUGCAAGCGUUAAUCGGAAUUACUGGGCGUAAAGCGUGCGCAGGCGGUCCGCUAAGACAGAUGUGAAAUCCCCGGGCUUAACCUGGGAACUGCAUUUGUGACUGGCGGGCUAGAGUAUGGCAGAGGGGGGUAGAAUUCCACGUGUAGCAGUGAAAUGCGUAGAGAUGUGGAGGAAUACCGAUGGCGAAGGCAGCCCCCUGGGCCAAUACUGACGCUCAUGCACGAAAGCGUGGGGAGCAAACAGGAUUAGAUACCCGAGUAGUCCCUGUCUCUUAUAC